UGUAGUCAUAAAAAAAUGCAAAGCUGAUGAAAUUGAAUAAAAUUGGAGUCGACAAAUUUAGUUAUUUACAUUUUGGCAACACAAGAAUUGUUAGUCGUUACUCUGAGUUUGUCUCGUAUCUGAACCUGUUGCCAACACUGUUAAAAACACUAAAGAGAUUAAAUUAAACAUAAAGAAAGAAACGAGAUGUACAGUAAACAUUCCAAAUAGUGACGUGACAUCCAACAAAGACGUCAUUAAAUUAUAGAGGUCCAGAGGCUGAACCGCUCCAUGGAUGAUCACCAACAUAGAUUAUUAAACGCAUAAUGGGAUUGACAACUGUCUCUCGGAACCUUGUGGGGUUAGAAGUAAAGCAUCACGGGAUCACGUUGAACGUGAAGAAGCAUUGGGAACCCAAUUUCUUUACCAUCCUGCAGCCCCCGCAGAGCGCUUCACUUUCGGUUCUUCGGAAGAAUCAAUAUACGUCUCUCUUCUAUAUUGAUCCAGGUAAAAAGGAAGUGGCUUGAUGAGAACAACUAAGCUGACACACCAGAGUUGGCUGCUGGAAACUCAUGGUGCCUUACAUUCAUGCAGAAAUCGGAUUCUGAAUCUAAAUAUUCCAUCACAUUCAAGAUGCUGUUUUAAGUUUUUAUUGCAAAGGCCAGAGAGGUAAAGAAUUAUUUGGUCACUGGUGUGAACAAAAUAGAAANNNN
rnacentral:lncRNA from 1 species